rnacentral:rRNA from 1 species
UACGUAGGGUGCGAGCGUUGUCCGGAAUUAUUGGGCGUAAAGAGCUUGUAGGCGGUUUGUCGCGUCUGCCGUGAAAGCCCAGGUCUUAACCCUGGGUCUGCGGUGGGUACGGGCAGACUAGAGUGUGGUAGGGGAGACUGGAAUUCCUGGUGUAGCGGUGAAAUGCGCAGAUAUCAGGAGGAACACCAAUGGCGAAGGCAGCUCGCUGGGACGGUACUGACACUGAGACGCGAAAGCGUGGGGAGCAAACAGG